GUUCCAACUAGAUUAAGAGACUUCAAGGGCAAGAGAAAGGAUUUGUAUCUGUUUAAAUUUCUAUUCUCUAUCACAAAGAAGAUGUGGAUAUAUAUUGCUGCAUUUUUAAAUGAAUCAUUUACUUUUAGUUAUAAUUAAUAUUUGUGUAAGGAUUAAACUGUAGGAAGUUGAACAUAGGAAAAAACUGAAAAGAUAGCAUCCCAAAAGAGAAUAGAAGGUAAACUGGUGGAAACCGUGUGGGCCCUAAAGCGGGAUAGCUGCCUCACUUCACCUCUGGUUUGAUUAAAGAGAUGUCUGUGCUACCCCAUGUCCUCC
rnacentral:lncRNA from 1 species